rnacentral:tmRNA from 1 species
AGGUUAGUCGGACGACGAGUAUCCCGAAGCGGCGUUCCGCUCUUUAACGACGUUUCAUACGGGGUAUCAUCCAUUUAGAGAUAGUGCGAUAUGUGCCUCGGUUAUCGUGCGAAAUUGAGGGGCUGGGCCUUGAGUUUGGCGGUUGUCUGCCGGGCUCUCGGAGGAGGAAUAAGUGACAACUAAGCGUGUAGAAAGCCUUCGGGCUCCUUGUUUGGACGCGAGUUCGACUCUCGCCACCUCCACUU